AACGAACGCUGGCGGCAUGCCUAACACAUGCAAGUCGAACGAAGGCUUCGGCCUUAGUGGCGCACGGGUGAGUAACGCGUGGGAAACUGCCUAUUGGUGGGGAAUAACGACGGGAAACUGUCGCUAAUACCGCAUAAGCCCUUCGGGGGAAAGAUUUAUCGCCGAUAGAUGUGCCCGCGUCCGAUUAGCUAGUUGGUGAGGUAAUGGCUCACCAAGGCGACGAUCGGUAGCUGGUCUGAGAGGAUGAUCAGCCACACUGGGACUGAGACACGGCCCAGACUCCUACGGGAGGCAGCAGUGGGGAAUAUUGGACAAUGGGCGAAAGCCUGAUCCAGCAAUGCCGCGUGAGUGAUGAAGGCCUUGGGGUUGUAAAGCUCUUUCGGGUGGGACGAUGAUGACGGUACCACCAGAAGAAGCCCCGGCUAACUUCGUGCCAGCCGCCGUAAAAC
rnacentral:rRNA from 1 species